rnacentral:rRNA from 1 species
AGCNCAGGGGCCGCAUGGCCCGGUGUGAAAAACUCCGGUGGUGUAAGAUGGACCCGCGUCUGAUUAGCUUGUUGGCGGGGUAGGGGCCCACCAAGGCGACGAUCAGUAGCCGGCCUGAGAGGGUGGACGGCCACAUUGGGACUGAGACACGGCCCAAACUCCUACGGAAGGCAGCAG